rnacentral:rRNA from 1 species
UGAGGAAUAUUGGUCAAUGGGCGAGAGCCUGAACCAGCCAAGUAGCGUGCAGGAUGACGGCCCUAUGGGUUGUAAACUGCUUUUAUGUGGGGAUAAAGUGCGUGACGUGUCAUGCAUUGCAGGUACCACAUGAAUAAGGACCGGCUAAUUCCGUGCCAGCAGCCGCGGUAAUACGGAAGGUCCGGGCGUUAUCCGGAUUUAUUGGGUUUAAAGGGAGCGUAGGCUGUCUAUUAAGCGUGUUGUGAAAUUUACCGGCUCAACCGGUGGCUUGCAGCGCGAACUGGUCGACUUGAGUGCGCACAACGUAGGCGGAAUUCCUGGUGUAGCGGUGAAAUGCUUAGAUAUCAUGAAGAACUCCGAUUGCGAAGGCAGCUUACGGGAGUGUUACUGACGCUUAAGCUCGAAGGUGCGGGUAUCGAACAGG